GAUGAACGCUAGCUACAGGCUUAACACAUGCAAGUCGAGGGACCGGCGCACGGGUGAGUAACACGUAUCCAACCUGCCCUUUACUCGGGGAUAGCCUUUCGAAAGAAAGAUUAAUACCCGAUAUAAAGGAUGGGGAUGCGUUCCAUUAGGUUGUUGGUGAGGUAACGGCUCACCAAGCCUUCGAUGGAUAGGGGUUCUGAGAGGAAGGUCCCACACAUUGUGACUGGAGCACGGGCCAAAUACCUACGGGAGGCAGAAGUGAGGAAUAUUGGUCAAUGGGCGCUAGACUGAACCAGCCAAGUAGCGUGAAGGAUGAAGGCUUAUGGGUCGUAAACUUCUUUUAUAAAAGAAUAUGUAUUAUAUGAAUAAGGAUCGACUAACUCCGUGCCAGCAGCCGCGGUAAUUC
rnacentral:rRNA from 1 species